rnacentral:rRNA from 1 species
GACCUGGUUGGGUGGUCCGCCUCACGGUGUGUACUGCUCGACUGGGCCUUACCUCUUGGUGAUCCGUCGUGCCCUUUACUGGGUGCGUUGGGGAACCAGGACCUUUACCUUGAGAAAAUUAGAGUGUUCAAAGCAGGCCUACGCCCGAAUACAUUAGCAUGGAAUAAUAAAAUAGGACGU